rnacentral:rRNA from 1 species
AUUGAACGCUGGCGGCAUGCCUUACUCAUGCAAGUCGAACGGUAACGGGCCUUCGGGUGCCGACGAGUGGCGAACGGGUGAGUAAUACAUCGGAACGUGCCCGAUCGUGGGGGAUAACGAGGCGAAAGCUUUGCUAAUACCGCAUACGAUCUACGGAUGAAAGCAGGGGACCGCAAGGCCUUGCGCGGACGGAGCGGCCGAUGGCAGAUUAGGUAGUUGGUGGGAUAAAAGCUUACCAAGCCGACGAUCUGUAGCUGGUCUGAGAGGAUGAUCAGCCACACUGGGACUGAGACACGGCCCAGACUCCUACGGGAGGCAGCAGUGGGGAAUUUUGGACAAUGGGCGCAAGCCUGAUCCAGCCAUGCCGCGUGCAGGAUGAAGGCCUUCGGGUUGUAAACUGCUUUUGUACGGAACGAAAAGCCUUCUUUUAAUACAGGAGGGUCAUGACGGUACCGUAAGAAUAAGCACCGGCUAACUACGUG